GAAAAUAAUCAUAAUUUGUAAACUAAAACUCCAGUUCCCCAUGGAUCACUGAAGUUAAGCAACGCUAUGCGUGCUAAGUAUCCGGAUGGGUGACAUCUGGACAAUCACUUACUAGUGGUUUUUA
rnacentral:rRNA from 1 species